rnacentral:rRNA from 1 species
AGCGGGGAAUAGCCCAGGGAAACUUGGAUUAAUGCCCCAUAGUAUGGAGGUCUCACCUGAGACCAUCAUUAAACAUUUAUGGCUAUUAGAUGGGUAUGCGUCCUAUUAGUUAGUUGGUAAGGUAACGGCUUACCAAGGCAGCGAUAGGUAGGGGUCCUGAGAGGGAGAUCCCCCACACUGGUACUGAGACACGGACCAGACUCCUACGGGAGGCAGCAGUGAGGAAUAUUGGACAAUGGGCGAGAGCCUGAUCCAGCCAUGCCGCGUGCAGGAAGACUGCCCUAUGGGUUGUAAACUGCUUUUACAGAGGAAGAACCACCCCCACGUGUGGGGGUUUGACGGUACUCUGCGAAUAAGGAUCGGCUAACUCCGUGCCAGCAGCCGCGGUAAUACGGAGGAUCCAAGCGUUAUCCGGAAUCAUUGGGUUUAAAGGGUCCGUAGGCGGGCAGUUAAGUCAGUGGUGAAAGUCUUCCGCUCAACGGGAGAACUGCCAUUGAUACUGAUUGUCUUGAGUUAUUAUGAAGUGGUUAGAAUGAGUAGUGUAGCGGUGAAAUGCAUAGAUAUUACUCAGAAUACCGAUUGCGAAGGCAGAUCACUAAUAAUAUACUGACGCUGAUGGACGAAAGCGUAGGUAGCGAACAGGAUUAGAUACCCUGGUAGUCUACGCCGUAAACGAUGGUUACUAGCUGUUCGGAUCGAUUGAGAUCUGAGUGGUUAAGCGAAAGUGAUAAGUAACCCACCUGGGGAGUACGUUCGCAAGAAUGAAACUCAAAGGAAUUGACGGGGGCCCGCACAAGCGGUGGAGCAUGUGGUUUAAUUCGAUGAUACGCGAGGAACCUUACCAGGGCUUAAAUGUAGUCUGACAGGGGUGGAAACACCCUUUU